CCUACGUGAGGCUGCAGUGAGGAAUAUUGGUCAAUGGGCGCGAGCCUGAACCAGCCAAGUCGCGUGAGGGAUGAAGGUUCUAUGGAUCGUAAACCUCUUUUAUAAGGGAAUAAAGUGUGGGACGUGUCCUAUUUUGUAUGUACCUUAUGAUUAAGGAAAGGCUAACUCCAUGCCAGCAGCCGCGGUAAUACGGAGGAGCCGAGCGUUAUCCGGAUUUAUUGGGUUUAAAGGGUGCGUAGGCGGGCUUUUAAGUCAGCGGUGAAAGUCUGUGGCUCAACCAUAGAAUUGCCGUUGAAACUGGGGGGCUUGAGUAUGUUUGAGGCAGGUGGAAUGCGUGGUGUAGCGGUGAAAUGCGUAGAUAUCACGCAGAACCCCGAUUGCGAAGGCAGCCUGCCGGGCCAUGACUGACGCUGAUGCACGAAAGCGUGGGGAUCAAACAGGAUUAGAUACCCCAGUAGUC
rnacentral:rRNA from 1 species